rnacentral:rRNA from 1 species
UACGAACUGCGCGAACGUUAUUCGGAAUCACUGGGCUUACAGGGUGCGUAGGUGGCAUCGAAAGUAGGGUGUGAAAUGCCUUGGCUCAACCAAGGCACAGCGCUCUAAACUACUUUGCUUGAGUGAGUCAGGGGUGCACGGAACUUCCGGUGGAGCGGUGAAAUGCGUAGAUAUCGGAAGGAACGCCGAAGGUGAAAACAGUCUGCUGGGGGUGUGCCGACGCUGAGACACGAAAGCCAGGGGAGCGAACGGG